rfam:Atta cephalotes unplaced genomic scaffold scaffold00020, whole genome shotgun sequence.
ACCUCAGUGGUCGAGCUGGCUAAGACACUCUUCUCGGAAAGUUGAGAGAUCUCAGGUUCAAAUCCUGGUUGAGGUA